UAGGGAAUUUUCCACAAUGGGCGAAAGCCUGAUGGAGCAACACCGCGUGCAGGAUGAAGGCCUUCGGGUUGUAAACUGCUUUUCUUUGUGACGAAUAUGACUGUAGCAAAGGAAUAAGGGUCGGCUAACUACGUGCCAGCAGCCGCGGUCAUACGUAGGACCCAAGCAUUAUCCGGAAUUACUGGGCGUAAAGAGUUGCGUAGGUGGCAUUGUAAGCAAGAUAUGAAAUCGUGUGGCUCAACCAUACGGCUAUAUCUUGAACUGCAAAGCUAGAGAGCGAGAGGGGUAGAUGGAAUUCCCAGUGUAGGAGUGAAAUCCGUAGAUAUUGGGAGGAACACCGAUAGCGUAGGCAGUCUACUGGCUCGUUUCUGACACUCAGGCACGAAAGCGUGGGGAGCAA
rnacentral:rRNA from 1 species